rnacentral:lncRNA from 1 species
AUCUUUGGUUUUCGUGAACCGAGCCUUAUCCUUUUUAUGGUUUUUUCCAUAGUUUUCCAGAAUAAACUAUGGUGGCGACUCCAAAACUAUUUUUUAAAUUAUUUUUAUCUUUGGAUCGUUGUCCCGUCGCGAUUUUUCGGUUGCGACAUUAACUUUCUCUUUUUUUUUUCUUUUCUUGCUUUUUUUUAUUUAUUUUCACGCAUUUUCUCUUUUUCUCUUUUCUCUCAACCACUUCUUUUUCUUUCCCAUCCUCUUCUUCUUCCUCACUCCUCCUUAAGGUUAACUUCAGUAUUAACCCUAGAAUCAUCCAAA